GGCACGGGAGGCAGCAGCGCGCCAACAGCGAGGCCGCCUCCCGGUGGUUAGGGGCAGCCACACCUGGACGUAAGCCAAGCUCAGCUUCCUUGAAGACCAAAGAUUUCCUCCCCCAGGGCGACAUCUCAGAGACUCUACGGUCUGCAGGGACUGCGCAGCUGGCAGCCAGAUUCAGACUGCCUAGCUACAAAGUGAUUGGCCAUCCAUGCGAAGUUUCUGGGAAGCACCAAGGAUGUUAGCAGAGGACACACACCUGCUAGUGUGCCUAUGAGUGAUAGCGUUCUGGAAGCUAAAUCAGGAUUGUACUGUCUUUGAGCCCUCCACACAUAUCGACUGAUAUGAUGGCUUUAACAUCUCUAGAUGGAGACAGA